rnacentral:piRNA from 1 species
GGGAGAGCAGGGCAGGGUUUC